CCUACGGGGGGCAGCAGUAGGGAAUCUUCCACAAUGGGCGAAAGCCUGAUGGAGCAACGCCGCGUGCAGGAUGAAGGCCUUCGGGUUGUAAACUGCUUUUAUAAGCGAGAAAUAUGAUGGUAACUUAUGAAUAAGGAUCGGCUAACUACGUGCCAGCAGCCGCGGUCAUACGUAGGAUCCGAGCAUUAUCCGGAGUGACUGGGUGUAAAGAGUUGCGUAGGUGGCAUAAUAAGUAGCUAGUGAAAUCUGGUGGCUCAACCAUUCAGACUAUUAGCUAAACUGUUAAGCUCGAGACCGUUAGGGGUAACUGGAAUUUCUAGUGUAGGAGUGAAAUCCGUAGAUAUUAGAAGGAACACCAAUAGCGUAGGCAGGUUGCUGGGACGGUUCUGACACUAAGGCACGAAAGCGUAGGGAGCAAACGGGAUUAGAUACCCCAGUAGUC
rnacentral:rRNA from 1 species